AUUGAACGCUGGCGGCAUGCUUUACACAUGCAAGUCGAACGGGGGUAGCAAUACCCUAGUGGCGAACGGGUGAGUAAUGCAUCGGAACGUGUCCCGUAGUGGGGGAUAGCCCGGCGAAAGCCGGAUUAAUACCGCAUAUGCUCUACGGAGGAAAGCAGGGGAUCGCAAGACCUUGCGCUAUGGGAGCGGCCGAUGUCCGAUUAGCUAGUUGGUGAGGUAAAGGCUUACCAAGGCGACGAUCGGUAGCUGGUCUGAGAGGAUGAUCAGCCACACUGGGACUGAGACACGGCCCAGACUCCUACGGGAGGCAGCAGUGGGGAAUUUUGGACAAUGGGGGCAACCCUGAUCCAGCCAUGCCGCGUGAGUGAAGAAGGCCUUCGGGUUGUAAAGCUCUUUCGGCCGGAGAGAAAGCCUGAGCUCUAACAUAGCUUGGGGUUGACGGUACCGGCAGAAGAAGCACCGGCUAACUACGUGCCAGCCGCCGCAGUAAUAC
rnacentral:rRNA from 1 species